GUUGAAACACCGCUUCCCGUUCGAUCACUGAAGUUAAGCAGCGGCGAGCCAUGUCCGUAUCUAGAUGGGUGACCGCUUGGGAACAGCG